UGGGAAUGUUAUUAAGCCUCUAGAAGUACCAGAACCUUAAAAAAAAAUUACAGACACAGCCCGGUUGGCCACUAGCCGAGUCCUUGAAUUCCGGCCAGCCCGUCCAGGCCCUUUGCUUCCAGGAAAGAUAACUGCUCCCACCAGCCUCCACCACCAAGAACCCUCGACAGCUGCGCAGAAACUCCAGCUUAUCACCUACUCCCUGAGGCCACGGAGAGCAUCUGAAGAGACCGGUAAGCAGGAAAGUGUCUGAAGAUCUGAAAAUAACCUUAGCUGAAACUCCUGCCCGGGGCCAGCACAGCGCUCUGUGGGUAAAGCCACCUGCUCAAACAGCCCCACAAACAGACAGACAGGUUCCACCUCGGUUAGUCAAAGAGUACAGAAUCCUUGCUUCCCUCUUGGGUCCAGCUCAGACAUCCUGACCACAGAGCCAAGCCAACGGGGCUCCCUCUUCUUGGAAGCCCACUCAAGGCAUGGAUGUCUAAAAGAAGAGUCGAGUUGGGCUGGCUGUUGUCCUUCUGAUGGCUCCAGUGUUACUUUUUCUUUCUCCUCUCCAUCCUGAGGCAACCUCUGGUCUUCACAGCUCGCAUCUGCUGCAUCUAGUCUGGCAACCCAUUCCCAGCUGUUUCUCCACAGGCUCCAGGCAUCCCCUCAGCUGCUUCUUGCAGUUUCAUUCUUGCAGAAUGUUGCCGACACCAAAUGUCAAGUUUAAUGGAAGUAAAAUGAAAAAACAUGAAGCAAAUCCGAAAUAGAACAGAUUCCAAAAUGAUUCUUCUGGAGUGCGCCCUGCUCGGUCACCAGGUUGCAGAAAAUAGCAAGUGCGCCUUUAAGACCUGAGGACGUGACUCUACAGACAGAGGAACUUCCCAGGAGGGCUCCUCCCAGUUCAACAGAAAUCAUGCCUGCAAGGAGAGUAACUUGAGUUAAUGGAAGACCUCACUUCAUACAGCUACCAGACAAUGGAGAAACGAAAGAAGUCACACAAAUAGGGAUGACUUGUCAUCUCUGCCAGCUACAAGCUAUGGUGUCCUUCAGUAAAAAUCUAAGGCCUCUAUGCCUGUUUCAUCUGAUUAAGAUAAGAUUUUUAUUUUAUCUAUGAAAAAUUUGCCUACAUGUAUGUAUGUGCACCCCAUGCAUGCCUGGUGCCUGUGGAGGCCAGAAGCGGGUGUCAGAUCCCACAAAACUGAGGUUACAAAUAGUUCUGAGCUGCCAUGCUGACGCUGGAACUAGAACCCAGCAGGAGCAGAAACUCGGCUUUUAACUGCUGAGCCAUCUCUCCAGCCUCAAGAUAGCAUUUUAUAAGGUUUGGUGUGAUAGUGUAUGCCUGUAAUAAUAGUACCCAAGACACUGAAGCAGGGGGAUUUUCUUGAGUUUGAGCCAAGCAUGUAGGACCUAGCACGGCUCUGUCUCAUAAAACAAAACAAAACAAAGAAGAAGAGAACCAAGACCACAUAACUUCGAUGAACUCCCUAUGUGCUCUAUGGUACACACGUUGCACACCUCUACACACACGAAACAGUAACAAUCAUGUUAGAAUAAUGUUUAAAAGGGAAGGACUUGCCGGCCGGCGGCAGCGGUGGUGGCACACGCCUUUAAUCCCAGCACUCGGAGGCACAGGCAGCCAUGGUCUGUGGACUUGUAGUGCAGACUUCU